rnacentral:rRNA from 1 species
CCUACGGGAGGCAGCAGUGGGGAAUAUUGGACAAUGGGCGAAAGCCUGAUCCAGCAAUGCCGCGUGAGUGAUGAAGGCCUUAGGGUUGUAAAGCUCUUUUACCAGGGAUGAUAAUGACAGUACCUGGAGAAUAAGCUCCGGCUAACUCCGUGCCAGCAGCCGCGGUAAUACGGAGGGAGCUAGCGUUGUUCGGAAUUACUGGGCGUAAAGCGCACGUAGGCGGCUAUUCAAGUCAGAGGUGAAAGCCCAGGGCUCAACCCUGGAACUGCCUUUGAAACUAGAUAGCUAGAAUCUUGGAGAGGUCAGUGGAAUUCCGAGUGUAGAGGUGAAAUUCGUAGAUAUUCGGAAGAACACCAGUGGCGAAGGCGACUGACUGGACAAGUAUUGACGCUGAGGUGCGAAAGCGUGGGGAGCAAACGAGGAUUAGACUACCCGUGGUAGUCCACGACCGUAAACGAUGAUAACUAGCUGUCCGGGCACUUGGUGUUUGGGUGGCGCAGCUACGACAUUAAGUUAGUCCGCCGUGGGAGGUACGGUCGCGAGAGUAAACGUACGAAGAAGUUAGUAGCGUUGAGACGNGCCGAGGACGACGACGAGGGAGGAGG